rnacentral:rRNA from 1 species
AUUGAACGCUGGCGGCAUGCCUUACACAUGCAAGUCGAACGGUAACGCGGGGCAACCUGGCGACGAGUGGCGAACGGGUGAGUAAUGUAUCGGAACGUGCCCAGUUGUGGGGGAUAACUGCCCGAAAGAGCAGCUAAUACCGCAUACGACCUGAGGGUGAAAGCGGGGGAUCGCAAGACCUCGCGCAAUUGGAGCGGCCGAUAUCAGAUUAGGUAGUUGGUGGGGUAAAGGCCCACCAAGCCAACGAUCUGUAGCUGGUCUGAGAGGACGACCAGCCACACUGGGACUGAGACACGGCCCAGACUCCUACGGGAGGCAGCAGUGGGGAAUUUUGGGCAAUGGACGCAAGUCUGAUCCAGCCAUGCCGCGUGCGGGAAGAAGGCCUUCGGGUUGUAAACCGCUUUUGUCAGGGAAGAAAAGGGCGACUCUAAUACAGUUGCCUCAUGACGGUACCUGAAGAAUAAGCACCGGCUAACUACGUGCCAGCCGCCGCGGUAAGAC